GUCCCGCCAAAUCCCCCCAGCCUUUCUGGAGGCGGGAACCCCAAAUGUAGAGCCCAUGGUGCCAUGUGACAUCAAGCUGGCUCAAGGACAUGUUUGACUCAACCAGUCAUGCUCCAGGGCUCAUACUGCUCAGGCUAAUGGGGGUGCACUGUGAACCCUUUAGAGGUUCCCUGAUCCAGACCCCAUGACUGAGAAUGGAAGAAAAGAUACAGGAAGACUAGAGGUCUGGAAGGGAUGGCAGUGGUGCUAGGGAGCAUUGGCAGGGCUGGGCCUGGGAGACUGGGCGCUGAGAAACUGAGAAAGGUGUGGCAGUGGAGAGUAGACACCACCUCUCCAUCAGUGGAGUGUUGACAUCACCUCUCUAUUCCUAAAGGCCAAGGUGGGGGCGGGAGAUGAAUUCAAGUUGGUACCUUACCCUACUUAGUUCCGGACCUGCCUGCUUCAGGCCUUCCCAGUCCCUGUUGCUGUAUAAACAGCAGCUGCAAGAAGACCAAGUCAGAGAAUGAACCUCUACAGGAGAACGGCCAGCAGUUGUGUGGCACUGGGUCCAAAUCCAGACCCCCACCAUGCUCAUGACCAUCCCCAAGCAGAAGGAGGAACUGAGGCCCAGAGAAGAACACCACUCACCAUCAGCUACUAUAAGCAGCGCUGGGGUGCGGGCCCAGACCUGGCUCGCUCUGCACACUGCACGUCUCCUCCUCAAGAUCUACUCUGUGCAGCACCAGACUUUGGCAAAUGGAACUUAGAAGAAAAUGGAUCCCAGUGCAAGGGUCCAGCCCAUCAUGGUGCAGAAGUCAAAGCGGUGGAAGUUUGAAGCAGCUGGAAGCCUACAGCGACCACAAUCAGAA